UUUAUUGAUAACUUUGCAUCUCAAUAUAAUUUUAUGGGCAUUAAACAAAAAUCUGCGUUUAGCAAAUUACAGUUAUGUAAAUGUAUUAAACGAGCUAUAAAACUGUGUGAAUCACAAUCUACAGAAAAACAAGUUGAAGAUGCUAUAAAAAUAUGGUUAAAACAUGCUCCACAACAGAUGGAAAAAAAAUAACAGGAAUAUCGCUUAAGUCAUCUCAACAGAUGUUACUAUUUAUUUAUAAUAUACGUAAUAUUUAAAUAUUUUUAAGAUGAUAAAAAGGAAGGAGCAGGUAGGCAAACGUCAAUUCUAUCGACGUGUCAGUCAUGAAGUUCAAAGUAUACUCAACGAAAUAAAUUUGACUUGUACUAAUGCAC